rnacentral:rRNA from 1 species
UCAGGUCUCCAAGGUGAACAGCCUCUGGCCAAUGGAACAAUGUAGGCAAGAGAAGUCGGCAAAACGGAUCCAUAACUUCGGGAAAAGGAUUGGCUCUGAGGACUGGGCUCGGGGGUCCCGGCCCCGAACCCGUCGGCUGUCGGCGGAUUGCUCGAGCUGCUCACGCGGCGAGAGCGGGUCGCCGCGUGCCGGCCGGGGGACGGACCGGGAAUCGCCCCUUCGGGGGCUUUCCUCGAGCAU